AUCCCUGUAGUACAAUGGAUAGCGUCUUGGUUUUUUAAUCGAAAGGUCGUGGUUUCGAAUACCACCUGGGUUG